CCCUGCUCAGCCCCGCGCGGCCCGAGCUCAGCAUGAUCUCGCCCCCUGCAGCCGCCGCACACAACCCCUGGCUGCGCCCGUCCCUAGCUGAACCGGAGCGGCUCCGACCCCGGGACCCCCUGCUCCGCUUGCAAGACACGCCGCGGCUGGGGUGGUGAGAGGCCGCGGGCAUGGCGGCCCCCGGGGACUGCUGCGUCCAGGUAGCGGUGAGGAUCCGUCCCCAGCUGUCAAAGGAGAAGAUUGAGGGAUGCCACAUCUGCACUUCAGUGACGCCUGGGGAGCCCCAGGUGCUGCUGGGAAAGGACAAGGCAUUCACCUAUGACUUUGUGUUCGACCUGGACACAUGGCAGGAGCGGAUCUACACCACCUGCGUCAGCAAACUCAUCGAGGGCUGCUUUGAAGGCUACAAUGCCACCGUGCUGGCGUAUGGCCAGACCGGAGCUGGGAAGACGUACACCAUGGGCACUGGCUUUGACACACACAUCUCAGAGGAGGAGCACGGGAUCAUCCCACGGGCCAUCUCCCACCUCUUCAGCGGCAUCGAGCAACGCAAACGGGAGGCGCAGGAGCGUGGCACAGCCGUGCCGGAGUUCAAAGUCAGCGCCCAGUUCCUGGAGCUCUACAACGAGGAGAUCCUGGACCUGUUCGACAGCGCUCGGGACCCUGACUCCCGCCACCGCAAGUCCAACAUCAAAAUCCACGAGGACACCAGCGGAAGCAUCUACACCACGGGCGUCACCUCCCGUCUCAUCAGCUCCCAGGAUGAGCUGAUCCAGUGCCUGAAGCAGGGAGCUCUGUCCCGCACAACCGCCAGCACUCAGAUGAAUGUCCAGAGCUCCCGCUCCCACGCCAUCUUCACCAUCCACCUGUGCCAAAUGAGAGUCUGUGCCCAGCCCGACCUGGUGACUGGCCUUCCAGAGGGAUCCCAGGCCACCAGCGAGUAUGAGACCCUCACCGCCAAGUUCCACUUCGUCGACCUGGCCGGCUCGGAGAGGCUGAAGCGGACAGGAGCUACGGGCGAGAGAGCCAAGGAGGGCAUCUCCAUCAACUGCGGCCUGCUGGCGUUGGGAAACGUCAUAAGCGCCCUUGGAGACCAGAGCAAGAAAGCGGUGCACGUACCCUACCGAGACUCCAAACUGACCCGGCUCCUACAGGACUCCCUUGGGGGGAACAGCCAAACCAUCAUGAUCGCCUGCAUCAGCCCCUCUGACCGGGACUUCAUGGAGACCUUGAACACGCUCAAGUAUGCCAACCGGGCUCGCAACAUCAAGAACAAGGUGGUGGUGAACCAGGACAAAACCAGCCAGCAGAUCAGCGCCCUGCGGGCCGAGAUCGCCCGCCUCCAGAUGGAGCUCAUGGAGUACAAGGCGGGCAAGCGCGUGAUCGGGGAGGAUGGUGCCGAGGGCUACAGUGACUUGUUCCAGGAGAACGCCAUGCUCCAGAAGGAGAACGCCACCUUGCGCAUGAGGGUGAAGGCCAUGCAGGAGGCUAUUGAUGCCAUCAACAGCCGGGUCACCCACCUGAUGAGCCAGGAGGCCAAUUUGAUACUGGCCAAGGCAGGUGAUGGCAACGAGGCCAUCGGCGCCCUGAUCCAGAACUACAUCCGGGAGAUCGAGGAGCUCAGGACAAAGCUCUUGGAGAGCGAAGCCAUGAAUGAGUCACUCCGCCGGAGUCUGUCACGGGUCUCCUCCAGGCCCCCGUACUCCCUGGGCUUGUCUCCAGGCCCGAGCCUGGGGGCACUCAGCAGCCCCGUGGUCUCCAUGGAGGCAGAGGCUUCUGAAGUCCUUCGGCGGGCCAAGCAGGACCUAGAGCGGCUGAAGAAGGAGACCAGGCAGCGGAGGAAGAGCCCAGAGAAGGAGGCCUUUAAGAAGAGGCCAAAGCUGCAGCAGGAGAAUGGGGAGGAGACGGACGAGAACGAGGAGGAGGAGGAGGAGCGGGAGGAGAGUGGCUGUGAGGAUGAGGACGAGGAUUCGGGCAGCGAGGAGAGCCUGGUGGACUCAGACUCCGAUGCGGAGGAGAAGGUGGUGAAUUUCCAGGCUGACCUGGCCGACCUGACCUGCGAGAUCGAGAUCAAGCAGAAGCUGAUUGACGAGCUGGAGAAUAGCCAGCGGCGCCUGCAGACGCUCAAGCACCAGUAUGAGGAGAAGCUAAUCCUGCUGCAGAACAAGAUCCGUGACACCCAGCUGGAGAGGGACCGGGUGCUGCAGAACCUCAGCACUAUGGAAUGCUACACGGAGGAGAAGGCCAACAAGAUCAAGGCGGACUAUGAGAAGCGGCUGAAGGAGAUGAAUCGGGACCUGCAGAAGCUGCAGGCGGCCCAGAAGGAACAUGCUCGCCUGCUCAAGAACCAGUCGCGCUAUGAGCGGGAGCUCAAGAAGCUGCAGGCUGAGGUGGCAGAGAUGAAGAAGGCGAAGGUGGCACUGAUGAAGCAGAUGCGGGAGGAGCAACAGCGGAGGCGGCUGUUGGAGACCAAGCGGAACCGGGAGAUCGCCCAGCUGAAGAAGGAGCAGCGCAGACAGGAGUUUCAGAUCCGGGCGCUGGAGUCUCAGAAGCGGCAGCAGGAAAUCGUGCUGCGAAGGAAAACCCAGGAGGUUUCUGCUCUGCGCCGCCUGGCCAAGCCCAUGUCGGAUCGGGUCUCUGGGAGGCUGAGUCAGAAGCCAGCCAUGCUGGACUCGGGUGCGGAGGUGUCUGCCAGCACCACUUCCUCGGAACCGGAGUCCGGCUCCCGCUCGGUCUCCAGCAUCGUGCGCCAGUGGAACCGGAAAAUUGACCACUUCCUGGGAGACCCUUCGCCCUCCAUAAAUGGGGCUCGGCCCGUCAGGAAGAAGUUCCCAAAGAAGGGGAUGAGCCAGACCUUCAGCAAGGCGGCCCGGCUCAAGUGGCAGUCACUGGAGCGGCGCAUCUUCGACGUCGUCAUGCAGAGGAUGACCAUCGUCAACCUGGAGGCGGACAUGGAGCGGCUGAUCAAGAAACGCGAGGAGCUGGCGCUGCUGCAGGAGGCGCUGCUGGGGAAGAGGGGAAAGCUGCAGGCGGAGAGCCCGGAGGAGCAGAAGGGCCUGCAAGAGCUGAACGAGGAGAUCGAGGUGCUGACAGCCAACAUCGACUACAUCAACGACAGCAUCGCUGACUGCCAGGCCACCAUCAUGCAGCUGGAGGAGACCAAGGAGGAGCUGGACUCCACCGACACCUCUGUGGUGAUCAGCUCCUGCUCCUUGGCCGAGGCGCGCCUCCUGCUGGACAACUUCCUCAAGGCAUCCAUCGAUAAGGGACUGCAAGUGGCUCAGAAAGAAGCCCAGAUCCGCCUGCUGGAAGGGCGCCUGAGACAAACGGAUGUGACUGGCUCCUCCCAGAACCACGUGAUCCUGGAUGCCCUGCGGGAGAAAGCGGAGUCCCACCCCGAGCUGCAGGCGCUCAUCCACAAUGUGCAGCAAGAGAACGGUUAUGCCAGCACGGACGAGGAGAUCUCGGAGUUCAGCUUGGCCUCGGAGGGGAGCUUCUCCCAGUCUUUCACCAUGAAGGGCUCAGCCAGCCAGGAUGACUUCAAGUUCAAGGGGGAACCCAAGCUGUCAGGCCAGAUGAAGGCUGUGUCGGCUGAGUGCCUGGGACCCACACUGGACAUCUCCACCAAGAACAUCACCAAGUCCUUGGUAUCCCUCAUGGAGAUCAAGGAAGACGGGAUUGGCUUUUCCAUCCGGGAUUCCUACUACAAGGAUAAGGUCUCCCGCACCAUCAGCCUGCCCACCCGCGGCAGCACCUUCCCUAGGCAGUCUCGUGGCUCGGACACCUCGCCUCUGACCCGGAGGAAAUCCUAUGACCGGGGGCAGCCUGCCAGGACUUCAGAUGUUGGCUUCACGCCUCCCUCAUCCCCUCCCACCAGGCCGCGCAAUGACCGCAACGUCUUCUCCCGCCUCACCAGCAACCAGAGCCAGGGCUCCGCGCUGGACAAGUCUGACGACAGCGAUUCCUCUGUCUCGGAGGUGCUGAGGGGCCUCAUUAACCCUGUGGGCGGUGCCAGGAGCGCCCGGACAGCCCCACUGCAGUGCAUCUCCGUGGCGGAGGGACACUCCAAGCCCGUUCUCUGCGUGGACGCCACCGAUGAGCUGCUCUUCUCCGGAUCCAAAGACCGGAGCUGCAAAAUGUGGAACCUGGUGACGGGCCAGGAAAUCGCCUCGCUGAAGGGCCACCCCAACAAUGUGGUGUCCAUCAAGUACUGCUACCACUCAGGGUUGGUCUUCACUGUCUCCACAUCCUACAUCAAGGUGUGGGACAUCCGGGACUCGGCCAAGUGCGUCCGCACCCUCACCUCUUCGGGUCAGGUGAUCUCCGGGGACGCCUGUGCUGGGACCACGACCCGCACCAUCGCCAGCGUGCAAGGCGAGCACCAGAUCAACCAGAUCGCGCUCAACCCUGCCGGCACCAUGCUCUACACUGCCGCCGGGAACUCCGUCCGCAUCUGGGAGCUCAACAGGUUGCAGCCGAUCGGGAAGCUGACUGGCCACAGCGGGCCCGUGAUGUGUCUGACUGUGAACCAGACCGCGAGCAACCAUGAUCUGGUCAUCACCGGCUCCAAGGAUCACUACGUCAAGAUGUUUGAGAUCACGGACAGUGUGGUGGGGAAUGUCGGCCCCACCCAUAACUUCGAGCCCCCGCACUAUGACGGCAUCGAGUGUCUGGCCAUCCAGGGCGAUGUGCUCUUCAGCGGCUCCAGAGACAAUGGGAUCAAGAAAUGGGACCUGGAGCAGCAGGAGCUCCUCCAGCAAAUCCCCAACGCGCAUAAGGACUGGGUUUGCGCCCUGGCCUUCGUCCCCGGCCGCCCCAUGCUGCUGAGCGCCUGCCGCGGGGGCAUGGUGAAGGUCUGGAAUGUGGAGAACUUCACGCCUGUUGGGGAGAUCAAAGGCCAUGACAGCCCCAUCAAUGCCAUCUGCACCAAUUCCAAGCACAUAUUCACUGCUUCCAGUGACUGCCGGGUAAAGCUAUGGACUUACGUGCCUGGGCUCACUCCCUGCCUUCCUCGCCGCGUCCUUGCCAUAAAGGGGCGUGCCACUAGCCUGCCUUGACCCUUCUCCUGCUCUCUCUGGCUCUCACCCCCUCUCCAGCUCUCUCUCCUUUUCUCUCUCUCUCUCUCCUCUCUCCGCUCUGGUCUCAGCUGCUCCUUAACGUGACCUGACGGUGAAGCUCUGGAGCAGGAGAAGAUUCCUGAACGGCCCGACCUAGGUGCUGGAAAGGCCGGAGCCAGGGAGACUGUCAGGCUCCCUGGGGGGCCCAGGCCCCAUCCCCUCUCCCUGGCCGUGAAGAGCUGGGAGCGGCCUGGCCUAUGUGUGCUCGUUUCCAGGACUCUGGGGUGACCGCAUCUCAGCUGGGGCUUUGUGCACUGCCAGCUUCCAUGGCUUGGGGGCGUAGUUCCCAUCCAGCCCCAUGCUGGGUUUCAUGAUGCAGAGGGCUUUCUGCUGACCGGGACAUGGCCUUGCCAGCCACGGGGAGGACCCUGAACUGAGAGACUCAAUGGGAUCAUUCCAGUCUGUCCCACAGCCUGUUCAGCACCCCCCAUCGCUGGGUCUCCUGACCAGAUCCACAUGCUGCCUGGCAAUUGUCGACCUUUGCAUCUGACCCACCUUGUUCUGAGCCAGGAUGCCCCUCCUUCUGUCCCGGGGGUGGAGAGAAGGAAGCUGGACAUUGGGGGAAAAAUCCCUAUGGGCAUCUCCAAGGAAAAGUGGAGUUUCUGGAUCUGUUCACUUUGUGCCCGCCCCCGCCCCCGACCUGACUGAGCCUUAAUCGCGCACUGGUCCGUUCGCUCUUCCCUGUGGUCCCCUCACUGCCCAUUUGGACACCCGGCUUGGUGCCAUCUCUGCUGUGCAUGGGACUAGCUUAUUCCCAGCUGCUGCGGGAAGGGAUCAAAGCUUUUAUAGUGGGGGUUUUAAAGAAUUUUUUUACCACCCUUGAGAAUGGAUUGGAACCUGGGGAUUUUUAAUAGCCGGGAAAGGCUUUAAUGCUGCGAAAAAGGCUAAGCUCUCCGCACCAUCUCACAAGAGGGGUUUAGGUUUGCUUGGGGCAGUCCUAUGGGGCCUGGCUUGGAAGAGGUCCGGGAUUAGAGUAGUGUGUGGAAGGGCGGGCAGGGGGUGGUUAUGUGGUCAAGAGAGAGGUGCCUUGGCAAAGGUGGAGGGCAUGGGGUGCUCUGGACAGGAUCUGCAGCAGGGAGCAGAGCAGGGCUAGAAUGGAGCUGGACGAAGGGGAGGGCGGGGGUAGUGGGAGGGACCCACAUGAGACUUGAGGUGCAUUAGCAGAGCUGUGGGGGCAAUGAGGGGUUGCCCAUGCCCAUGGCCGGCCCAUGCUCUGCUUGCCACCCACCUGCACUGCCAGUCUGGCACAAGACACUAAAUCACCAAGGUCACCCCAAAUUUGGGUUUUAUAAAAGUCAAAAUUCCGUAAGGUCUCUCGCCACCAUCUCCCGCCAUGCUUGGGUGCCCCCCUUCCUCUGGGGCAUCCACAGCCAAGUGCCUGCAGCUGCCAGAGCCACGUGAGCAUCCCACAGCGCUGCACUCCCCAAAGCACAUGGACUCACUUUCACUGGGAUCUUUCUCUACCUUCACUCCCCCCUCCGCUAAGGACUGACUAAGGCGUCCCAGUCCCACGCAGCCAAUGCCCAGUGCAGUCGGACCCUUCGUCACCCAGCUUUUUGCUGCUGCUUAACGCCCUGGGGGUGAAGAACUUGCUGUGAAAUGGACCUGAGGGAACCGCAGCAGGCUGUCCGUUUUCCCCGGGUGCGUUUCUUGUGUCAUGCCGCACAUCACAUAAGGCGGCGGUUGGAGUCUGGUUUUACGGAUUGAUCCCCGUCAAUGUGCUGGGGGUGGUGAAGUGUUGGCCCUUUAGCUAACCCCAUCAGCAAUGGAUUGUGUGUUCUCUGGGAUCCAAGACUUUCAGUAUCCUUGGUUAACAGGUGAUUUCCCCUGGUGUCCUUCUACACGGCAGCUCGAAGGACAACACCAAGGGGUUCUUACCCCAGAUUUGACCUCCUUUCAAACUUAUAACCUGGAUGGGAAAUGUUUCAACUUUCUAAACAGCAGCAGCCUCUUUAUUUCUUUUGCCUUUUGAUAAUCCAGCUGCCAUCUCAUAGUAGCAAACCCUACAAAAACAGUGAUUGAUCGCCCCCUGCUGGGAAAAGUAAAAAUUGCCUCCAAUCACUGCUGCUCUGUGGAACCAAGGCAGUGUUUCUGAAGUGGGAAAAUGUGUUCAGUUCCAUUAUGCCUCUGAGCAUUUGGCUACUGACCGGGAUGGGGAGCUCAGAAGUCCUGCCAGGGUGCUGGCUCUGGUGGGAUCCAAACACAGUGACUUGGUUUGCUCAGCUACGCGUGAUAACCACUCAUCAUUCUCCCACUGCUACCACCAACGAAAGGAGAAGCGUCCCCAGGGCUCUGCUGAUGCCAUGGGAGAGGGGAACGCAGGUUAAAAUGAUGCAUUCCCGCUACCGAGAGAAUGGAUUAUAUCCAAGAUAUCACUGAUGGAACAGAAUUAAAUUGGCUGGGAGAGAAAAGAUGGAUUUUUUUUCCAUUUGGCAACAAGAGGGACAAGCAAAUGUGAAUUGUCUGAAAUGAAGAGGAUGGGAGCUAGGGGCUCUGAGUCGCCACUCGUGUAGCUGGUGCGUACGUGGGUGGUCUGUACCCUGGAGGAUGAUGUCUGAGUCUCUGCUCAUCACAAUGGCUUUUGAAUGCAGCUGCUCCCAUGGGAUAACACUUGACAUCUAGUCCGCCCUGGCAGGUGUGAAUGGCUCUAGGGGCAGGAGAGAGCUGGGGCAGUGGUGUCUCUGCUUUAAUGGGACUUCAUCUGAUCUUUAAGAGGCUGAUCCGAAGUCAGCAGAAAGUCUCCCACUGACCUCCAUGGAUUUUGGAUCAGGCGCUCAGUGGGGGUUGC